AUCGUUGUUUGAUCAAUUUGUGUUUCUUCCUCAGAUACAGAAGCUGUGACCAAUAGUCACUUGGCUAAGCCUGGGACUGGGAGGAGCUAUAGCAUGUAACAACCAGACAAUGGUAUGGUGCUAGGAACACGAUCAGAAGACGAGGUGAGGAAAAAGGGGCACUAGGGGCUCUACCAGUGUUGUGGUGCACAUGUCACUACACCACCACCUCCUACUCAUUCUCUGAAGCAACAGUGCCGUGGUGAUGAGCUCCAUGGACCCAACAAUGGAAGAGCAGAGUAGAGGAUUGAGGAAGCAUUGAUCAAUUAUAGUGCACGAACAGUACAAGAUUAUCAUGUUGGUGUAGGAUUUCCAACUUAUGAAUGAAGAGGAUCCUGCCGAAGCUAAGAAGCAAGAUACAUGGCGUCCCAAGUCCAUGCUAUUGUUGCUACCGUGUUCGUUGACAGAUGCCGCUAGCUUUGCCACCUACAGAGGCAUCGGCGCGAAGUGGAUGUCCAGAAUGUGGAAGUGCAGCUGCCCAGUCACUCCUAGGUUUGUCCAUGUCUCGCUUCAGAAUU